rnacentral:misc_RNA from 1 species
GAAAUGCGAUACUUGGUGUGAAUUGCAGAAUCCCGCAAACCAUCAAGUCUUUGAACGCAAGUUGUGCCCGAAGCCAUUAGGUGGAGGGCACGUCUACCUGGGCAUCUCACGUUGCUUCACCCGCGCCCCCUCGAAGGAAGGGCUGCGAGCGGAUGUUGGCCCCCCGCGAGCGCCCGCGUGUGGUCGGCCCAAAAGCGAGUCCCCCACGACGGACAACGCGUCGCGACGAGUGGUGGUUGGCAAACCGUUGCGUCGCCUCGCGCGCGUCCCGUCUGUCUCAGGAGGCCUGUCGUGACUCUAUCGCGCCGCCCCCAAGGUGCUCCGAUCGCGACCCUAGGUCAGGCGGGAUCACCCGCUGAGUUUAG